AGAGUUUGAUCCUGGCUCAGGAUGAACGCUGGCGGCGUGCUUAACACAUGCAAGUCGAACGGUGAAGCAGAGCUUGCUCUGUGGAUCAGUGGCGAACGGGUGAGUAACACGUGAGCAACCUGCCCCGGACUCUGGGAUAAGCGCUGGAAACGGCGUCUAAUACUGGAUACGAGCAGCGGAGGCAUCUCCAGCUGCUGGAAAGAUUUUUUGGUCUGGGAUGGGCUCGCGGCCUAUCAGCUUGUUGGUGAGGUAAUGGCUCACCAAGGCGUCGACGGGUAGCCGGCCUGAGAGGGUGACCGGCCACACUGGGACUGAGACACGGCCCAGACUCCUACGGGAGGCAGCAGUGGGGAAUAUUGCACAAUGGGCGGAAGCCUGAUGCAGCAACGCCGCGUGAGGGACGACGGCCUUCGGGUUGUAAACCUCUUUUAGCAAGGAAGAAGCGAAAGUGACGGUACUUGCAGAAAAAGCGCCGGCUAACUACGUGCCAGCAGCCGCGGUAAUACGUAGGGCGCAAGCGUUAUCCGGAAUUAUUGGGCGUAAAGAGCUCGUAGGCGGUUUGUCGCGUCUGCUGUGAAAACCCGAGGCUCAACCUCGGGCCUGCAGUGGGUACGGGCAGACUAGAGUGCGGUAGGGGAGAUUGGAAUUCCUGGUGUAGCGGUGGAAUGCGCAGAUAUCAGGAGGAACACCGAUGGCGAAGGCAGAUCUCUGGGCCGUAACUGACGCUGAGGAGCGAAAGGGUGGGGAGCAAACAGGCUUAGAUACCCUGGUAGUCCACCCCGUAAACGUUGGGAACUAGUUGUGGGGUCCAUUCCACGGAUUCCGUGACGCAGCUAACGCAUAAGUCC
rnacentral:rRNA from 1 species